CCGAGUUUACAACUCCCAAACCCCCUGUGAACAUACCACUUGUUGCCUCGGCGGAUCAGCCCGCUCCCGGUAAAAACGGGACGGCCCGCCAGAGGACCCCUAAACUCUGUUUCUAUAUGUAACUUCUGAGUAAAACCAUAAAUAAAUCA
rnacentral:misc_RNA from 1 species